UACGGGGGGGGCAAGCGUUGUUCGGAAUUACUGGGCGUAAAGGGCUCGUAGGUGGCCAACUAAGUCAGACGUGAAAUCCCUCGGCUUAACCGGGGAACUGCGUCUGAUACUGGAUGGCUUGAGUUUGGGAGAGGGACGCGGAAUUCCAGGUGUAGCGGUGAAAUGCGUAGAGAUGGGGGAGAACACUCGUGGCGAAGGCGGCCAGCUGGACCAGUUCUGACGCUGAGACGCGAAAGCGUGGGGAGCAAACAGG
rnacentral:rRNA from 1 species